UGAGACUCUGCGGAAGUAGGGGCCGACUUUCGGCGCUGGCAUCGUACCCAGCACCUCCGCCAAAUGUCAAGGUGUUUAUUGACAGGAUUGAGAGGUCGAACUCGGUGCGGCAGUCAGAACCCUGCGAGCAGUCAGGACAAGCCCCGUGCGAAACAGCGCUGGUGAUGCGCUUGACUGACCGGCACUUCUUCGUCGUAUUUCAUACACCAGAG